CUGGUUGUACUUGGGUGGGAGACCGCCUGGGCAUACCGG
rnacentral:rRNA from 1 species